rnacentral:rRNA from 1 species
GUCUACGGCCAUGCCACCCUGAACAAGUCCGAUCCAAGUGUAAGAGGUGUCUACACUUCCGAUCCCGUCCGAUCUCGUCCGAUCCCGUCCGAUCUCGGAAGCUAAGUAGGGUCGGGCCUGGUUAGUACUUGGAUGGGAGACUGCCUAGGAAGACCAGGUGCCGUAGGCG